rfam:Anopheles darlingi Cont7128, whole genome shotgun sequence.
AAAUCAGCCCUUUUCAGGGCUACAGAAUGUAUCGGGAAAAGAGCAUU